GACUGCCCGCGGCAGGCGCCAGAAAAUUUCCCUUAUUUACAAAUCCAAAACUUGACAGAUAUGCUCAAACCCAGGAUGAAAGCUGGGACUCUGUUCACUGGAUGCCUGCUCUACCAAUUGGGCUAAAGAGCAUUUCUCAAUCUUGCACAAAAUAAGUCCCGCCCACAGAUGUUAUGAGGAAUGCAGGUGGUGUAUGCCAAAAUGGGCGGUCUGGCUCGUUUCUGCGUGAAGUUAGCGCAUUUCCCCCCAAAACUGUUGGUGCCUGUAUAAAUGCCUGAGCGACUUUUCACUCUGGUCCGAAUUGCUCUUCCUUGAGGACACGAAUACGGUAAUAAGCCAAGGUGAUGUUCCUUCAUAUAUCAGAGAGCUCUACAUACCGUCAUGCCGGCUAAGCCCAGCAAGUUCUACAUAUGUGCAGGUUAAAAGUGAGCCAGCCUCCCUCUCAUGCUGUCCUCAGUACAGCUGGACUCUGGAUGGACACACACUGACAGACGCUCAGCUCCUCUCUGGAAAUAGACAGUAACAACAUCACUCUGAGACUGGUCUGCUCAGUCAGCAAUCACGUCAGUCGAGUCUCCAAGGAAGAAAUGAUGUCUACCUGUGGCUUUAUAUCCAUUGACUGCAUCUCCAAUGGGACACACAUAUCACAGUGGGUGUUUGAAGCCAGUAACACCCUGUGGGUUAAGUAAACAACAGCCCACACCUUGACCACUGGGGGUAAGGAGCCUGGCAUGACCAUGAUCACAGUAACAGAGGCAUCCACUGUGGAUCAGUUCCUGCUCAUCUGUGGUCUGCGAACAGCUGUGAUGAUUCUCAUUUUAAUUGGAAUCGUCGUCUAUUUUGUCUGGAAGAAGAAGAAAUACGAGAAAGCUGAAGGCUCUGCCGUCCCUGAAGAGAUGGACUAUGUGAACUCUGUUGUGAUGGUUCAACAGAGAAGUUCUGCAUCUGAACUUUAACUUUCUGAACCAACACCUCAGUAUCGCCUCUCGGCUGUUGGCUCUGUGUCUUCAGGAUGUGAAAAUAGUGUUUAGAAAGGAAAUUUCUUCUGUUUUGUUUUUUUUUUUUUUAAAUUCCUCUCAAAUUCUUUGUUUUCUGCAUUUGCAUCACUAAAAGCUCUGACAGAAUAAAUGUUAUAUAUUGUGACCCUAGUUCUAUGAUCAGUGGAGUGGAGCCAUCUGACUUGAUAUAUUUUUGACAUUUUUGUUUAUGAUUUUGAGGUGAGUGCUUUUUGCCUUUGUAUUGGUUCUUGUCUUAGUUAAUCUGUAUAUUGUAAAAAUGUUAAUUUUGCACCAAAAGCAUGUCUUUAACAUUGUCUUUUAAAGCAUUAAACGGUCGUCCUGAAAAGGACACUAACAGUAAACCUGCGACAAUAUCAUCUCCACCUGUUGCCAUUUUCAAUGUCGGCUAUCAAUCACAACUCGCUAGUUAAGAUAGGUCUCGCAUGACUGAGCAUUGAGCAAGCGGGCCUUCUGACCAUCCAAAGGACGUGAAAAUGCCUACGUCAGUAGACACCUGCUAGAUGGCCUCGAUGUUGCCAACUCGAAAUCUGAUUGGUUAAAGCAACAGUUUCAUUGCUACUUACUUUAAGCUACAGACCCCAGCACUAUCGAUUCUGGAGGUGUCAAGGCAGAUUUCUUUGACCCUGGCAACACAUGAUGGCUGAAAUAUGAGUGGAUAGAAUCUCUAACAUAAACAUACACUAGUGGAAGCAGCGCAACUAAAAGAAAAGCUAUGAAAUGAAGAGAACAGACUAUUGGAAAUAAUUUAAUACAUAUUCAUGGAAAAAACAAACAAAUAUAAACAUAAGCCAGUGAUUCUGAUAGCGUUUAGGCCCAGAGACAUGGGGUUCCAUACUGAGAAGGCCUUGCUGGCCCUGGCAGCCCACCACUGCUUUAAGGUGAUAUGUCUGUCUGUCUCUCUGUGAACACAUUUUGUCAGUGUUGUAAUACCGUAACUGUGCAAGAUGCAAUCAUGAAAUUCUACAGGUGUGUAGUUGAGAUCAAAAUGAAGGUCGAGGUUGAAGAUGGAUGUGAUGCAACCCUUGAUCACUGUAUACUCAUGUGACUCGUGUAGUUAUGACUACUGAGCACUCAUGGGUCGAUAGGUUAGCUGCUGUGAUUGGACACGAGGCUUCAUGGAUGUAAAAAUAGAUUAGAGUCAAAAUUAUAAUCUCUUCUUAUUCCUCUCAAAUUCACAUCUGAGUAGCUCACAAACACUUUCCCAUAAUAAGUCUCUGAGUAAAACGUUUGACUUUUUAGCUGUAUAUUCUCAAAAUGUAGAUUUGGACCAAACUGAGACCAAACUGUCAUUUUAUGAGCAUAUUCACACAUGUGAUUUAAAUGUUUGAGUCUGAAAAUAUUUUAUUAUGUGAAUAAUGAUUUUGUGUUUUUCUCAUCUGAUCAUAAUAACAAAUACAUGUUAAUUGUCUCUGAGUAAUAAUGUUAAUACUGUCAAAUUUAUUUUACUCAAGCUUUUGUUUGUUCUGUAUUUAAAACCUCUCAGUCAGUCAUAUGACAUCAGUCAGUUUAUGUAAGCUUCCUAUAUGUUAACAUUUUGAUCAUGAACUGACAUUUUUAUCUUUACGUGUGACUGUCCAUAUUUAACAUGUAUUUCUGUUAUAUAUGAGGAACUGAAGUAAUGACUUGUGUUGAAGAAUCUACUUCUUUGUUAAAGCGUAAAUGACACCAGAUCAACCAUCACUCAAAGCAACAAUUACAUAAACCAACAAUUGAUCAAUUAAUAACAUUUGGAUCAUAGCCUCAACAUGAACAUCAUACUGUUUCCAACACAGAUGAGGAACUCCUAUGAUCACUUGGCUGGUUUCCUUUACCAUCUUAUAAUUACCACAGGAAGCAUUCCUGUUAUGUCUGAGGAUGAUGUUUGAGGCGAUGCUGUUAUAAAAGACACAUAAAAAGUCCUGAUGAUGAUA